GACGAACGCUGGCGGCGUGCCUAACACAUGCAAGUCAGGGAUUGAAUGAAGGGUAGCAAUACUUUUUUAUUCAAUACCGGCGCACGGGUGAGUAACACGUAGGCAACCUACCCUCAGGCGGGGAACAACAUCGAGAAAUCGGUGCUAAUACCGCAUAAUGCAACGAGACCACAUGAUCUUGUUGUUAAAGAUCCGCAAGGAUCACCAGAGGAUGAACCUGCGCCGAUUAGCUAGUUGGCGGAGUAACAGCCCACCAAGGCGACGAUCGGUAGCCGACUGAGAGGGUGAUCGGCCACACUGGAACUGAGAUACGGUCCAGACUCCUACGGGAGCAGCAGUGAGAAUNUUGGUCAAUGGCCGAAAGGCUAGAACCAGCAACGCCGCGUGAGGGAU
rnacentral:rRNA from 1 species